rnacentral:rRNA from 1 species
UAGAGUUUGAUCAUGGCUCAGGAUGAACGCUGGCGGCGUGCUUAACACAUGCAAGUCGAACGAACCUUCGGGUUAGUGGCGGACGGGUGAGUAACGCGUGAGAAUCUGCCCUCAGGAGGGGGACAACAGCUGGAAACGGCUGCUAAUACCCCAUAUGCCGCGAGGUGAAAUGAAUUUCGCCUGAGGAUGAGCUCGCGUCUGAUUAGCUAGUUGGUGUAGGUAAUGGCUCACCAAGGCAUCGAUCAGUAGCUGGUCUGAGAGGAUGAUCAGCCACACUGGGACUGAGACACGGCCCAGACUCCUACGGGAGGCAGCAGUGGGGAAUUUUCCGCAAUGGGCGAAAGCCUGACGGAGCAACGCCGCGUGAGGGAUGAAGGCCUCUGGGCUGUAAACCUCUUUUAUCAAGGAAGAAGAUAUGACGGUACUUGAGGAAUAAGCCACGGCUAAUUCCGUGCCAGCAGCCGCGGUAAUACGGGAGUGGCAAGCGUUAUCCGGAAUUAUUGGGCGUAAAGCGUCCGCAGGCGGCCCUUCAAGUCUGCUGUUAAAAAGUGGAGCUUAACUCCAUCAUGGCAGUGGAAACUGUUGGGCUUGAGUGUGGUAGGGGCAGAGGGAAUUCCCGGUGUAGCGGUGAAAUGCGUAGAUAUCGGGAAGAACACCAGUGGCGAAGGCGCUCUGCUGGGCCAUUACUGACGCUCAUGGACGAAAGCCAGGGGAGCGAAAGGGAUUAGAUACCCCUGUAGUCCUGGCCGUAAACGAUGAACACUAGGUGUCGGGGGAAUCGACCCCUUCGGUGUCGUAGCUAACGCGUUAAGUGUUCCGCCUGGGGAGUACGCACGCAAGUGUGAAACUCAAAGGAAUUGACGGGGGCCCGCACAAGCGGUGGAGUAUGUGGUUUAAUUCGAUGCAACGCGAAGAACCUUACCAGGGUUUGACAUCCUGCGAACCUCUUAGAAAUUUGAGGGUGCCUUCGGGAAUGCAGUGACAGGUGGUGCAUGGCUGUCGUCAGCUCGUGUCGUGAGAUGUUGGGUUAAGUCCCGCAACGAGCGCAACCCACGUUUUUAGUUGCCAGCAUUUAGUUGGGCACUCUAGAAAGACCGCCGGUGAUAAACCGGAGGAAGGUGUGGAUGACGUCAAGUCAUCAUGCCCCUUACACCCUGGGCUACACACGUACUACAAUGCUACGGACAAAGGGCAGCAAACUCGCGAGAGCUAGCAAAUCCCAUAAACCGUGGCUCAGUUCAGAUCGUAGGCUGCAACUCGCCUACGUGAAGUAGGAAUCGCUAGUAAUCGCAGGUCAGCAUACUGCGGUGAAUACGUUCCCGGGCCUUGUACACACCGCCCGUCACACCAUGGAAGUUGGCCAUGCCCGAAGUCGUGACUCCAACCCUUGUGGAGGAGGACGCCGAAGGUGGGGUUAAGGGCUGGGGUGAAGUCGUAACAAGGUAACC